UUUUGUAUUUUUAGUAGAGACUGGGUUUUGCCAUGUCGGCCAGGCUGGUCUCAAACUCCUGAUCUCAGGUGAUCUGCCUGCCUUGGCCUCCCAAGCUGCUGGGAUUACAGGCAGGAGCCACUGUGCACACAUGGAAUGAUGAUGGCUGCAGCUUAACCAGAAAACCUUUGUAGCAUGAGAGUAAUAAUAAUGUAUAUUUUCCUAAGAAAGAAUCAAAUCAAUUUUUGGAAGAGGGGUGGAUUGCAAAACUUUAUUAAUAAAGACUUCUGUUCCAAA